rnacentral:rRNA from 1 species
AGUCGACAGAAGAAGCACCGGCUAACUCCGUGCCAGCAGCCGCGGUAAUACGGAGGGUGCGAGCGUUAAUCGGAAUUACUGGGCGUAAAGCGCAUGCAGGCGGUUGUUAAGUUACAGAUGUGAAGACCGGGCCGUCUAACCUCGGAAUAGCAUUUGAAACUGGCAGACUAGAGUACUGUAGAGGGGGGUAGGAAUUUCAGGUGUAGCGGUGAAAUGCGUAGAGAUCUGAAGGAAUACCGGUGGCGGAAGGACGGCCCCCGUCCGGACGAGAAUACUGACACUCAGAUGCGAAAGCGUGGGGAGCAAACAGGAUUAGAUACCCUGGUAG